rnacentral:rRNA from 1 species
UACCAGCACCCUGAGUGGUCGGGACGUUUUAUUGGGCCUAAAGCAUCCGUAGCCGGUUCUACAAGUCUUCCGUUAAAUCCACCUGCUUAACAGAUGGGCUGCGGAAGAUACUAUAGAGCUAGGAGGCGGGAGAGGCAAGCGGUACUCGAUGGGUAGGGGUAAAAUCCGUUGAUCCAUUGAAGACCACCAGUGGCGAAGGCGGCUUGCCAGAACGCGCUCGACGGUGAGGGAUGAAAGCUGGGGGAGCAAACCGG